UAUUGGUGGUGUGGACACUCCCUUAGAAGAACCUUGAAUCUCUCUCAUGCAUGAUAUAAAUUCUCAUUUGACUUUUGUUUAAAACUCAGGAUCUCACUCCUUAACCU
rfam:Capsicum annuum cultivar Zunla-1 chromosome 6, whole genome shotgun sequence